UGAAAUCUUCCUUUUACACACAGGGAAAGGGAGUUUCAGCAUCAUUGAAUGACUUUCUUUUGGUCAUAGAAUUAAUAUGGAACAGAAAAACAGCUUAACGUCUCCUGACACCAAAGCCCAUGCUCAAUUCAUUAAUCCUUGUUGGAUCCAGACAGGAGAAGAGGGCUCAUUGCCAGCAUCGCGACAGCUUCCCUAACUGAUUUCAUGACACCUCUGAAAAAGGCAAAAUGCUGUGCUGCCACUUAAACAAAGCUAUGGCCAGACCGUGUGGUGAAGGCAAAGUCCAGGAUGUGAUGAGAGCCUUCUCUUCGGCCACUCCUUCGAGUCAAGUAUGUGCAGCCUUUUCUGGGAAGAGGAGGUGCAUAUCACACCUUUCCCACAGGUCCAUUGCCCACUUCCUCAGCGACCACACCAUUGCAUGACAGGCUGAAUUUAGCCGGUAAGAAGCCAGAUGUCCUGCGGCCAGAUGCUUCUUUAAAGGAAAAUUAAACCCUUUAAAAAGAGUAAGUGCAAACAAUGGCCUCCUUAUUUCCCCAAUGACUGCCCUCUCCCAACACUCAGCUCUCUUAAUUAUUAAUUAUUAUUUAAAUUAAUAAUUAUUUAAUAUAAUUAUUAUAAAAAUUAAUAAAAUUGUUAAUUAAUUUUGGGAUUUU